UAAGUACAGGGACGCUUUAGAAGUGAUGUUGCCGGGCGAUGGUUGACCCGGUCGUAAGGGAUCGGAAAUGAGUAGAGAAGUCAUCAUGGAAAGAGACAAGAAAAGCUGUAUGAAUAUCUUAGGUGCCCGUACCGCAAACCGACACAGGUAGAUAGGAAGAAGAUUCUAAGGCCAACGGGAGAAGGGUUGUUAAGGAACUCGGCGAGUUGACCCCGUAACUUAGGGAUAAGGGGUGCUCAAGUGAUUGAGCCGCAGAGAAUAGACCCAGGCGACUGUUUAGCAAAAACACAGGUCUCUGCUAAAUCGAAAGAUGACGUAUAGGGGCUGACACCUGCCCGGUGCCGGAAGGUUAAGAGGAGAUGAGAGAGCAUUGAAUUGAAGCCCCGGUAAACGGCGGCCGUAACAAUAACGGUCCUAAGGUAGCGAAAUUCCUUGUCAGGUAAGUUCUGACCCGCACGAAAGGUGUAACGAUCUGGGCACUGUCUCAACAACCCGCCCGGCGAAAUUGUAGUACCGGUGAAGAUGCCGGUUACCCGCGACUAGACGGAAAGACCCCAUGGAGCUUUACUGUAGCCUAAUAUUGGAUUUCGGUAUUUCACGUACAGGAUAGGUGGGAGACUGGGAAGCACAGGCGUCAGCUUGUGUGGAGUCGACCUUGGGAUACCACUCUUGGAGUGCUGGAAUUCUAACCUGCGGCUUUGAAGCAAGUCGGGGGACAUUGUUAGGUGGGCAGUUUGACUGGGGCGGUCGCCUCCUAAAGAGUAACGGAGGCGCUCAAAGGUUCGCUCUGCAUGGAUGGAAACCAUGCGUCAGAGUGUAAACGCAAAAGCGAGCCUAACUGCGAGAAUGACGGUUCGAGCAGUAACGAAAGUUGGAGUUAGUGAUCCGGCGGUAUGUGAAUGGAAAUGCCGUCGCUCAACGGAUAAAAGCUACCCUGGGGAUAACAGGCUGAUCUCCCCCAAGAGUCCACAUCGACGGGGAGGUUUGGCACCUCGAUGUCGGCUCAUCGCAUCCUGGGGCUGAAUUCAGUCCCAAGGGUUUGGCUGUUCGCCAAUUAAAGCGGUACGCGAGCUGGGUUCAGAACGUCGUGAGACAGUUCGGUCCCUAUCUGUCGUGGGCGUAGGAUAUUUGCAAGGAGCUGUCCCUAGUACGAGAGGACCGGGAUGGACGCACCUCUGGUGCACCAGUUGUCACGCCAGUGGCACAGCUGGGCAGCUAUGUGCGGAACGGAUAAACGCUGAAGGCAUCUAAGCGUGAAGCCGCCCUUAAGAUAAGAUAUCCCUUCUGUUUACAGAGUAAGACCCCUUGAAGACUACAAGGUUGAUAGGCUCAAAGUGUAAGCACGGUGACGUGUUUAGCUAGCGAGUACUAAUCGGUCGAGGGCUUAACCAA
rnacentral:rRNA from 1 species